AGGGAAGGCCCCGUAGAGAGCGUCACGGCGCCGGGCGGGACAUUUUUAUCGAGGGCUGUGUAAUCUCGGAGACACGUCAUGAAGCAAGAACAGGGAGGGUUUCAGCAUUUUCACUGACAACGACAGAAUAUCAGAAUUAGCAGCAAAUAACGUUAACAUGGGUGCAAAAAACGUUGUGUAACGCUACAAAGAUUGCUGGAAGUUGCACUGAUGACAGAUUGCUGUGGUACAUCCCUUCCUUUCAACUGUCCUGAGGGUUCUACCAUCGAGAGAGCACUACAGCUGUCUGGUCCGGUUCUGAAGAUCCGUGAGAAGAACAAAAAGAAAUACAGUGAUUAGGACUGCCUGCACUUCUGGCUUUAAACUCUUCCAAGCACAAGGUCGCCUACUUAUUAGGUGGUUCUUCAUUUUACUGGAGUGAACCUCAUUAAAAACACUGAAGCUUUAAAGCAUGUCAGACUUUCUUUGAUGCCACCUAGAUUGUCGUCUUUUUCCCCCAGUGUUUCUUCUGCCCUUUGAAGAAGCAGAUUGCAAUAUAGAAAGAGCUCACCCCCACCUCCCACUGCUCCCCACGCGAAGGCUUCUUUCCAUCUGAUCUGUCGUCCAUCUCUCUUCUGCAUCAGCAUUCAUUUCCAGAUCCCUCAAGUACAGUUCAGAUGGGCGAUAUUCCUCUGCUCCCCACUUCACCAACUGCUAGCUAUUUUUAAUGAGGAUGACUGAGAAUUUGAGGGAUACCAGGGAUACUUUGACUGAUUGUGCCAUCUUUGCUGCAACAAGUAAAGCACUUGAGAUGGUUAUUAAUAGGGCCCAAAUAGUUCUGAUCAGAAUGUGUCAAAACAAAUGAUAAUGAGGGUUCAAAUGCCAAGGUUUAGUUUGGCCCUAACACAAAGCCAGUAUUUUGACUGAAGCUCAUCUUUAAUUAUCAUCAAAAGUACUUUAUACUUGUUUAAUCAAGAGCUUAACAUUUUGGAUGUAAAGGUGCUUUGGAUACUUACUUCAAGAGGCUCAUGUUCAAGCUUAGAGUAUCCUGUCUCUUAAUUAGGGAUUCUGUUGCUAUCUCACCAGACCCUGGCUUUUAUUAUGUCAUGAAACAAGAUCCUCCUCUUAGGAACUGUAGCUCUGAGAUAGCUUAUCCAAGAUUUAAAAAGAAAAAAAAAAAAAGUCAUUUUAAAUGUAGAUGUAACAAAUUCAGUCUUUUUAUAUUACCAGUAUCCAAGGCAAAUGGAAGAUUUCCUUUAUUUGCAGCCUGCCAUUGCAUUUUAAGUCCAGGAACUGCUCUUUAAUUCAGACACAAGUGAGAUUUGUCACACGUAUGCUCCUUCGUGCUGCAUCUGCUUCCCUGGCUUCUGGUUUUCAUGUAAAUGAUAGCUCUCUUAAUCUUCAGAAAGUGAAAAGUUUGGGAUUAUUGUUACCACAUUUGUCAUUUAGCGCUCUCUCAUGCAACUUUCCUGUACAUUUUCUGAAAUAGUUUUGCCAUCCCUCAUAAGGCAACCUCCCCAAGGCCCUCUUGCCUGUUCCCAUGUCAGCUCUCUUAGAGCUGAGGAUUGUUUUAGCUACUUCCCCUGAUACAUUUCAAGUAUAAUUAGAUGAUGAUCAAUAUGUCUCAGAUGUGCCACAACCUCAGAUUUAAAUUUUUUUUUAAUGCUUGGCUCUCUUCCUCAAUUAUUCCAAAUCAGCCCUUGGCUGACACAAGAAGCCUCAAUAAACUGCAUUAAAAACAAUUUCGAAUUUGUGGAAGGGCUCAACGUCUGAAGAGCUGAUGCACACUUUAGGGAUGAACUCGUCCAGAGCAGUAGGUUGGUUUGCUUUGCAUUGGCAGCAGGCAAGGGAACAGCAAAUAGAAACGUUAAUUCACCGUCUUGUUUCCGUUCCUCCCUGGUAACAGGGUUUUACAACCGACUUCCUGUGCCUGUAUUGAUUUUCUGGAGUCAAAGAACAAAAAGAUAGAGCAUGAGGACUCACGUGACCAGCCUUUAAGCAGGACAGGCUUCAGUCAUGUACCGAAGGGCGGACCAUCUGAAAAGGCAGAAUUCAGAUCUGCAGGCUGACAGAAGGGAGGAACUUUGUCUGCUGCCCUCAGCACCUCGCUUAUAAAUUCUACCCACCAACUGCAGUUCUUCCAACAGUUUUAGAAGCAUGGCUGUAAAACCACAGCUGCCCGAAGUGCUGCGUUAUGCACUUGUACUUGAAUUUACUUAUUGAGCUGUCUGUCUAGCAAAUGGAAAAACUGAAGUAAAUAUUUUCAAUAUGAAAUCUGAAACAUGUAUGAAUUAAGCCCCAAAGCAGCUUGGCUUCCUGAAUCAUUUCUGCAAAAAAAUUCUCAUCCAUACAAGGUUAUUUAAUCCAAGUCAAUACUAAGAAACUCAGAGAGAUGAAAACUGUCACAUAAAAGUGAAACUGAAGUUCUUCGAGGGCUUCAUUUCCAUCCACUGUUGUUUUUAUUGGAAUGAGCAAAGCUUAGAAUAUGGUGAUAUAUAUAUAUAUAUAUUUUUUUUUUUUUGCCAAGAUUUUGACUUAACAGCUUCUGAUCGGCAGCAUUUUCUCAACAGCAUUUUUAUGAAGGAGCCCAUGUGUAUGGGCACAAGCAAUGCAUUUUCUGCCUUCAGUACUGUAGUCUAAUCAAGCCAGCUCAAAGGCAAACGCAGUCUUUCAAGCAGUCAGUAUAUUUUUGUAUUUGAAUGUAAUGUGUUGAAACUACUCAGAUUUAACAGGGAGCUGCAAAUGCAUGCACUGCCAACCACAUGAAUUAUAGCCCUUCUGGUUAUAGUGGGAUCACUAUGUUUAUCACCAGCAUUGCUACAACCCUACACACUUCUGCUAUAGAAAAGGCAGGAUGCGUUAAACAAGGGACAUCUGCAAGGGCAAGAAACAGUCAGUAGAGUACUAAAACUGCACACUUACAAUUUUUAAGAGUUGAAAAGCCAAGCACACCUCCUUUCUGCCACAGCCUGCAUGCUUCUUCAUACUGUCUCAUACAAGUGGGAGUACUGUCAGUUCCUACUAGUCUGAGCGAGAAAACGCUACUUAUGUGGAACGUAAUCAAUGCACAUCACGUACUAUGGCUAUAAUAAAGGUCUCUGUAGCAACAUCAAGAACAGUUAUUUUUAAACGUUCUACCUUAGUCUCAUGUUCAUGUGUUGUUUUUUUUUUUUUAAACACAAAUAUUAACUGUUUCCACUGCAGAUGCUGCUAUGAGCUCAGCCAGCAGAACUCCAUUGUUGAGGCAUGAAAAGAUGAUCCCUACCUCCCCCCCCC
ensembl:lncRNA